UACGGAGGGUGCAAGCGUUAUCCGGAUUCACUGGGUUUAAAGGGUGCGUAGGAGGGCAGGUAAGUCAGUGGUGAAAUCUCCAAGCUUAACUUGGAAACUGCCGUUGAUAUACUGUCUUGAAUAUUGUGGAGGUGAGCGGAAUAUGUCAUGUAGCGGUGAAAUGCUUAGAUAUGACAUAGAACACCAAUUGCGAAGGCAGCUCGCUACUCAAUUAUUGACUCUGAGGCACGAAAAGCGUGGGGGAUCAAACAGG
rnacentral:rRNA from 1 species